AAUAAAUGACCACACCCCACAUUAUACCCCCCUCUCAAUCUCCCCCCCUACCCAACCCAAAAAGAAUAUUGUUUUCUUUGAUACAUGGUUAAAAAAACAAAAACAAUUAUAUAUUUACUUUAUUUUUAAACUUCCCACCCAAGAUAUUGCUAUAAAACUUGAAAUAAAAUCUUAUUAGUUUGUUUUAUGUCUUUACAAAUGUUCAAUAGAUUGUAGAAAAUAUACCUGAACUAUUACCUUGACCUUAUUGAAUAAUUUGAACAAUAUCCCCAUGAUGGCUUACGUUAUACUGUCAAGCACUCGAAUAGUUGAGUGCGCUGUCCUCUGACAGCUCUUGUUGUAAUUGUUGUCCCCUACCUGUUUCACCGGAGGGGACUUAUGGUUUGCGCUCAGUCUGUCAGUCCAUCCGUCACACUUUUCUGGAUCCUGCGAUAACUUAAAAAAAAAAAUUCAUGAAACUUGGAACAUGGAUAGAUGGCAAUAUGGGCAUUAUGCACGUCAUUUCAUUUUGUUCCUACGUCAAAAAUUCUGGUUGCUAUGGCAACAAAUAGACUAGAAAUACUGCUGAAAAUGGUGGUUUUCUGGAUCCUGCAAUAACUUUAAAAGUUUUGAAUAUUUUUUCAUAAAACUUAAAACAUGGAUAGAUGGCAAUAUGGACAUUAUGCAUGUCAUUUCAUUUUGUUCCUACAUCAAAAAUUGUGGUUGCUAUGGCAACCAAAAAAAAAGAAUCUGAAAAUGGUGGAAUUUCUGCCAAUGGUGGAGCCGGUAGGGGACCAUAUUGCUUGACAAUUGCCUUAUUCUACUUGUCCUAUCUUUCUUUGUGGCAGACAAGUGUGAUCAGACCUUAUUUAUCUUUGUUUCUGCUGCAAUUAUUGUUUUGAAACAAUACUUGCUAAAUUAUCAUCAAGGCAAAGAAUGAAAUUAGCGUUGUGAAACUGCAUGUCAAGAAUGCAGAAAAUGUUUUAAACCUGAGAGCAGCAUACCAAAGUAUAGUUCUGAAUUAAGUUACACAUAUAUUUAUCAAAUGAGCAGUGGUGUUGAAUUCUUAAGCCCAAUUUUCCUGACUUGUAAAUGUUCCAUGUAACUUGUCUGCCCCUUUUUGACAUCUUUUGUGUUAGCCUUUUGCUAGAGGUUUUUUCACGUUAUGUAUAACUUAUGGCCAUUUCAGCUGCAGUCUGUUACUUUGUAUCAAGUCAAAACUGCGGGGUUUUUUUUUAAACGGAUAAGUGUCGUUUUAAGGAUCAAUGUUUAAAAAAUGAAUACAUCAGUUUCAUUUUAUUUUAUUGUGUUUCAGGAACAUUUUAGCUUAAUUCUUGUUUGUUUCUUUAAAAAGUGAGUUUUGAAUGUGGACAAGUUGAAUUUUGUGUUUCAUUUGUUCACGAACAAGUAGUUUCUCCAUGCCCCUUUUGACUUGGUAGACUUCUUGUAGUUUUUUCAUUUUUGUAAUUAAUUGGUCAAUAAAAAACUUCAGAAGUGUUAAUGGUUACAUGUAUAUUCAAAUAACAAAAGAAACGAUAUUGUUUGAGUAUUUGGAAUUGUAUUCAUACUUUUAAACUUGUAUGUUUUCCAUUCCAUUUUAUACUUCCUGUAAACUUAAAUUUUUCCCAUUCUGUUUACUUAUCUUACAGAAGAAAACGAUCUUUACCUAAUCUUUUUAUUUGUCUCUUAUGUAUUUCUCUUAUACUUUUCUUACCUUUCAUGUGAUUUUAGUUUUUACCAUUUCUUAUCUAACUGUACAACAUGUAUUUUACCAUUCCUUACCUUAUCUUACUGUACAACAUGUAUGUUAUCAUUUCAUUUUCUAAUCAAUUAACUUCUCAUCAUGUAUUUGUCCCAUGUAUCAUGUUUCGAAGAUAUCAUUUGUCAGCACAUUCAGAUUCAUAAGCUUAGGGCUCUCAAAUAGUGAGUUCAUGUUCUUCAAACAAAAUUUGUAUGCCUCUUGCAUCUUCUGAAUCUGGGAGGUGCCCUUGGCAUCUUCUGAUUCUGGGAGGUGCCCCUGGCAUCUACUGAUUGUGGGAGGUGCCCAUGGCAUCUACUGAUUCUGGGAGGUGCCCCUGGCAUUCUGAUUCUGGGAGGUAUCCCUAGCAUCUUCUGAAUCUGGGAGGUGCCCAUGGCAUCUUCUGAAUCUGGGAGGUGCCCUUGGCAUCUUUUGAUUCUGGGAGGUGCCCCUGGCAUCUUCUGAUUCUGGGAGGUGCCCCUGGCAUCUUCUGAUUCUGUGAGGUGCCCUUGGCAUCUUUUGACUCUGGGAGAUGCCCUUGACAUCUUCUGAAUCUGGGAGGUGCCCCUGGCAACUAAAGAUUCUGGGAGGUGCCCUUGGCAUCUUCUGAGUCUGGGAGGUACCCCUGGCAUCUACUGAUUGUGGGAGGUACCCCUGGCAUAUACUGAUUGUGGGAGGUGCCCCUGGCAUCUAUUGAUUGUGGGAGGUGCCCCUGGCAUCAACUCAUUGUAGGAGGUGCCCCUGGCAUCUACUGAUUGUGGGAGGUGCCCCUGGCAUCUACUGAUUGUGUGAGGUGCCCCUGGCAUCUAUUGAUUGUGGAAGAUGCCCCAGGCAUCUUCUGAUUCUGGGAGGUGCCCCUGGCAUCUACUGAUUGUGGGAGGUAUCCCUGGCAUCUACUGAUUGUGGGAGGUGCCCUUGGCAACUUCUGAUUCUGGGAGGUUCCCCUUGCAUCUACUGAUAAUGGGAGGUAUCCCUGGCAUCUACUGAUUGUGGGAGGUGCCCUUGGCAACUUCUGAUUCUAGGAGAUUUCCCUUGCAUCUACUAAUUCUGGGAGGUGCCCCUGGCAUCUACUGAUUGUGGGAGGUAUCCCUGGCAUCUACUGAUUGUGGGAGGUGCCCUUGGCAACUUCUGAUUCUGGGAGGUGUCCUGAUCAUCUACUGAGUAUGGGAGAUGCCCCUAGCAUCUACUGAUUCUGGGAGGUGCCCUUGGCAUCUUCUGAUUCUGGGAGGUGCCCCUGGCAUUUACUGAUUCUGGGAGGUGGCCAUGGCAUCUUCUGAUUCUGGGAGGUGCCCCUGUCAUCUACUGAUUCCGGGAGGUGCCCCUGGCAUUCUGAUAUUGGGAGGUGCCCCUGGCAUUAACUGAUAUUGGAAGGUGCCCCUGGCAUCAACUGAUAUUGGGAGGUGCCCCUGGCAUCUACUGAUUGUGGGAGGUGCCCCUGGCAUCUACUGAUAUUGUGAGGUGCCCCUGGCAUCAACUGAUAUUGGGAGGUGCCCCUGGCAUCUACUGAUUGUGGGAGGUGCCCCUGGCAUCUACUGAUAUUGUGAGGUGCCCCUGGCAUCAACUGAUAUUGGGAGGUGCCCUGAGCAUCUUCUGAUUCUGGGAGCUGCCCCUGGCAUCUACUGAUUCCGGGAGGUGCCCCUGGCAUCAAAUGAUAUUGGGAGGGGCCCCUGGCAUCUUCUGACUGUGGGAGGUGCCCCAAACAUCUACUGAUUAUGGAAAGCCUAUAGUAAUAGGCCUGUGUGUUUGUCAGUUUAUCCAUCCUUAUGAGGUUGAUGUUUCCUACAAAGCUUUGAUUCCAUCAACACACCCACAUGCUUCUUACCGCAUGUUGACCAUCUAUUGUUUUUGCUCUCAGAGUUCAAAGUUAUGAUGGCAUCAUCCCUGUCUCGUUUAUAAAAGCUUUUUUGUGAACAAUCUGCUCUUAAACUACUAACUGUUGGCACAGUUAAUCUUUUUCCUAAAAUGGAGAUUGUUGUACAUUCAAGAUGUAUGGCAUUUUUGCAAUUCUUUCAGUGGUUAUUAUAUUGCUUUAAUUAUACCCGAGAUUAUAUAUAAUAAGUGUUGUAAAUUUAUACAGAUAUUUAUUUCACAAAAUAUUUGGUAUUGGUAUAACAUUAUUUGUAUGUAAGAAUUAUUCAAUUGUAUUUAAAUUUAUGUUGUUUAACUACUGCUUUUUAAAAAAAAAUUACUAAAGAACACAUGUAUACAGUCUAUUACAAAAAAAGUCAGCACAACUUGAGCACAAUUUUGUAUAUGCUUAAAAAAAUGCUAUAUAAUCAUCAUAUAUUUUUUUAUUUUUUUUUUAAACAUCAAAUAUUUGUGAAAAGAUUUGUGUAGGUAAAUUUAUUAUUUUGUGUUCCAUAUUGCAGUUAAUGAGUCUAGAUCUACUAUUUAAAAAAAGCGUUUUGAGUGCAACAUAGAUUAUUGAAUAUGAUGCAUAUGUGCUAACAUUAAAAAUGCAACAUUUAAUGUUUGUACUUUUUCUCUAAUUGCCCUAUAAAUAUUUUUGGCAGGAAUAAUUUGGCACAAAAAAAUAAGUUGGAUAUUUUUGUUGAGAACAUGGAGAGAAUUUUUUUUAACUUAACGCAAUUUUGGGUUGUGCAAUACAUUUAGGUGAACAAAGAUGAAAUUUGCUACCAUUUUCUGAUCUGUAUUAUUAUAUAUUCUACAUAUGCUGUUGCAUUUACUUAAUCCUGAUUGUGGUUUGAACAAAUCCUAAGGAGUCAGAAGAGCAUUUGAAAGUGUGUUAUAUAGAAUUGUGUGCUUUUAUUAUAGUUUCAUAUAAAACUGUAUUUAUGUAUGUUCACAUUAAUAUAAAUUGUACAAUCAUGAUUUUAUUUGUAUUUGUAUGGGAAUAAAGAUUUUAAUAAAGAUAGAAUGAGCACUUUUAUGCUCUUUUAGAGAGGCA